UAGGAGCAUUCAGCUUCCUGAUCAGUUCGCGUUGAUUCCAGCUGCCUGCAAAAAAAAAAGUUGUUAAUCUCUAGUGUUGGGUGUUAUACCACCCUACACCUCUCUGCCGCAACAAUGGUCCUCGAAAUUGAAGUGAAGUACUGUGACUCCUGAGGUUACUCUGCCAAGUUUGCAAAUCUGAAGCAGGACCUGGAAAGUGAAUUUCCGGAUGAACUGGAAAUUAUUCCGAUUCCAGUCAAAGGAAAAACAGGCUGUUUUGAGGUUUGCAUAAAAGGCUCAACCAAACCUCUACAUUCUAAACUGGGUGGAGAUGGCUUUGUUGACACCAAAGAGUGCUUUUCCCACCUUGUUAAAGAAAUUCAAGCAGCCCUCAACAAAAUGUAGAAGCUGUAAUUACACUGGUUGAACGUCAUUUUGCUUUGUUCACUUCGGCUGAACACAUCAUGAUGGUGAUGGCUGAAAUGCCUGCAAAGGCAUGGCUGUUUCCUGAUGUCUCCCGUGGGAUGUCGCAGUGACUGAAGUUAUCUGGGGUUUGGCCUGUGGGUUUCAGGCUUAAAUAUUUUGUGCUUUUGCCACCACACCAGUGGUGACUUCAGUUUCUUUUUCUUCCUGCAGUGCAAUGGCAAGCAAUCCAAUCAAACUAUCCUUACUUUUGGAAUUAAAGGGUAUAGCCAUCUUUCUAAGCAACCUGCAGCAUAUUUCAUUUUUUAAAAUGCUUGUUAAUUCAGAUGUUUCGUCCAUAGACAUGAGAGCCACUGGAAUACUCUAACUGUUUAAUUGGAAUUCAGCCUAUCCCCACACAGCAGUUCUCAGUAACUUUUUUUUUAAUCAAAUGGUCACUUUGUAAAUUCUGUGUAAUGCACCAAAUGUGCACUGCCAACCCUGUGACGUUACUGUCUCCACAAAGGUAUCUUGUACUCGUGUGGCUAAAAGGUGUGGUUUUAAAGUAGGAUGAGGUAUUUGAUACCUAGUUUGGGGAGGGGGGCAUGCAGAGGGAAAUGACCCUUCACAACACUGAAGUUGCAGUGUAAUCACUCUUAGUGUAGAAGUGGUUCUGAGUAAAAUGCACUAUUUUGUUAAAUCCAACACAAGGGUUGGAAAUGAAUGGAAAUUGAACAAGGUUUGUGUUUUUGAUCUUGGUUGAAUUCUGUUUCCAUGUGAGCCGCUAGAUUAUUCAGUUUAAAAGUAUGACCACUUAGAUCUCCAUUGGUGCAAUGGCCCAAUAAUCAUGUGGACCAAAAAACCAUGGUACAGAGUCAGCAGAGCACUUUUGGUUUCGCUUUUGAAAAUAGCAUUUGGUGAUUGAAGCAACACUAACUUCCACUGGAUGGCAGUUAGACUCACUUUCUUGCACUUGUAGCAUAUUGACUUUACCAUAUUUGUUUCUUUAAUGCCACCCAAGAGAAAUGUGUAAGUUUAAUAAAAAUCUCAAUGUUUGUUUUGGAACCUGUAUCUUGAAUAACAAUAAAAAUUAGUUUAAAAAAUGUUUGUCUUAAGUUUUAACUUGUGCAAAUAUUGUUGCAUUUUUCCUGUAAUUAUAGCUGUAUUAAUGUGCUCUGCCUUGAAGUAGCGAGCUUUCCUUUUGGUUUUUUUUUUUUUGGUCCUCCAAACAGCAAAACGAGUUACAGAUCUCUAUUGCUGUCCCCUUUAAGGUGCUGAGAAGAAACCUAUGCCUGAUUGGCAUGUGUUAACUAAGUGAAUGGAGAAUCUUGCUCUGAGCUUCAAACAGCAAGAAAGGCUAUUGGAUAUCAAAGCUGGCUUUUUUCCAUUUAUAGGAUGACCAAUGUUGGCCUGACCAGCAACACUACUGGCCAACCUUAAAACUGACCCUUCUAGCCCUGAGGGCAAUCACUUGCAGUGGGGUCUGGAGUCAAUAGGCCAGACCAGGUAAGGAUGGCAGUUUCUGUCUCUAAAAGACAAGUGGGUUUGUUCAACAAUCAACAAUGGAUUCAUGGUCAACAUUAGAUUCUUAAUUCCAGAUAUUUCAUUGAAUUCAAAUUCUACCAUCUGUGGUGGGGAUCAAACUCAGAACCUUAUCUGGGUCUCUGGAAUAACAGUCCAACAAUAAUAUCACUAGGCCACUGCCUACCCCACAUUCAGCAUAAUUUCCCUGCUUACAGACAUGGAACCAUUUCAUGAAGCUGAAGGUCCCGUAUGAUUACUGGUGUUACAAAGUUGUGAAUUGGAAGGCAGGAAACUAAAAUUUGGAGAAGGGGAAGAAAGCGUGUGGUCCCUUUUGAGUGCUUUUCUAAACUUAGAAAAAAAAGUCACUAAAUAUAGAAAUGUCUAUGUAACUGGUUCCAUUUUAGAACUGGCUGUACAAGUAUCAAUUGGCUGUGUAAUUGGAAACAUAAGGUGUGUUUUGAUGUUUUGGCAAUGAGCUGGAUUCAGCCAAUUAACUUAAACCAAGCACUCAGCAACUGGAAAGCCAAGUGAAUUUAAAUCUAGUGUUGAUAACGGGACCAAAACUAGUGUAAGAAAUGGAUGGGUCAUCAAGGGUGCUUUUUAACUUUUUUUAAAAAAAAAAAAAGCAUUUGGGGAAAUCAGCAGAGCCAAAUGAAAAGGUGACAGUAAACCUGCCAUCUGAGGAAUAAAUACCUAGUUCUCACAUGAUCCCUAUGGUCUCAAGCACCAUUAAAAGGUACCACAGCACUUCUAGCUAAGACUCUUCACAGAAAUGUCAGAAAACAUCCCUGAUGGCAGGACCAGCAGAAGAAAGGCUGGACAGACAGUGGAGAAGGCAGAGCAUUUCAGAAGAGUUUGUGUAAACUUUAGUCCCCAAGUUUCAAUUUAUUGCUUUCUUAUUACUUGAACUUAAGUGGGACCUGGUGUCUUAUUUGAACAGCAUACCAGCGGAGUUUAGUUCAGUUAGGGAAUAGUUAGUAGUUUUGGGGGGGCAAAUUGUUUGGUUUGUGAGUAAUUCUGUUAAUUUAAUCACUUGUUACUUUUUUUUGCUCAACUUGUAAAGUGAGCAUCUGGGAUUUUUUUCACUUAAUCUCCUCAACACCAAUCUCUCUCUUUGUCCUACUACUUUCAAGGAUUGACAUGCACCCACAGGUUUUUAUCCUAAGAACCCUGCCAUUAAGUCUUUAUUACCUCCUAUUAUCCCUUCUGUCAAAAUACAUCACUUCAUACUACUUUGCAUUAAAUUCCAUCUGUCACUCUGCUAGCUUUUUAAGUCUCAGUAGCCUCAACCCUUCUAACUGUGGAAUUACUAGCAAAUUUUGAAGUCUUAAUACAAGUAACAAGAUCUGACAACUAUUUUUAUACAGAUUAAAAGCAGCUGUAGCACUGACCGUUAGACCACUACUGUCCUAUUGCCUCCAGUCUGGAAAAACUACCAUGUCUUGAUCCUUUCUAUCUUUAAGCCACUUUUUUUUAUUUUUAAAAAAAAAAAAAAAAAAAUAAAUUCAACUGGCCACUGACUCUCCUAUUUCCUAAGUCCUUUGUGUGAUACCUUUUUUUGUCAAUAUGUAUUUCAAGUAAGUAUCACAUCAAUGUUCCCUAUUACUUCACAAAGCUCAAUUGUAUUAGUUGAGCAUGGUCUGCUUUUAACAAAUCUAAUGGCUCAGUCAUCGAGAUAUCCUUAAGGUUUUCACAUUUUCCGAUCUUCUGACAUCUUGCUCUAUCUGGAAAGUUUGGAAAAAUAAGGCCAGUCCCCUCCAGUAUCACCAACUUUCUUAAGCAUCCCGGGGUGCAAACUAUCUAUACCAGGUCACUAUUUACACAUAAGCAAAGCCAACUUACACUACCUUUUCAAUUUUUAUACCAUCCAUUGCCUCAAAUCUCUUGACUUCUAACAAUAUUUUGUCACAUUUGCUUGGUAAAUACAAUAUAAAGAACUCUUAAGCAUUUUAGACUUGCCCUGCUUUUUAAGCCUAUAUCCCCUUCUUUCUCCAGCAUACAAAUCACUCACUAUUUAAACACAGAACUUUAGGGUUUGCCUUUUUAAAAUUUUUACACAUCCAAACAGGUUGAUUUAUGUAACACAUUUCUGUGGACAUCCCAUGUUGAGAUGGAACUUGAACCCAGACCUUCUGGCCUAGAAGUAGGGACAGUACCACUGUGCCCUUGGGUUUCCAUUUAUAUUAUUGCCAUUGCAUUUUCUUUAUCUCUUUGUCAAUCUUUAUUUUCCUCUUCACCUUCUCAACCUAUAGUAUCUUGAGCUGGUUCUCAAUGAAGAAGUAACCUGACAUGCAUUGUGUACCCUAAUCUUUGUUCCAUCAUAAUCUCUAUCUUCUUCAUCCAAGGAGCUCUGACUAUUGCUCAUUACUUACUUGUCUUUUGGAAUGUACCUAGACUCUAAUGUAUCUCUUCCUUGAAGAUAAUGUAUUGAUCAAUUAGUUUUUUCCCAUCAACCUUUGCCAUUUACCCUGGCUAGAUCCCUUGUUGUCACAUGGCAAUGAGCUCUCUUUGAAUAUAGACAUUUAGAUUUUAGAAAGGAACAAGCAACAAUAUCUGUUGUAUUCAUCCAUUAGCUAUUUUGAAGCUGAACCAAUACUACUGCUUUCUGCGCUCAGUAAUUCAACCCUUUCUCUAUUUUUUAGCAUACUUGUUUUACUUUUGCUUUGAAGUACUAAUCAGGGAAACAAUUAAAAAUAGAAUUUAAGAGUAUACUACUUAUUUUAAAAAAAAAGUAGCCAAAGGAUGAUAUUAGAAUUUUGUCUAGAAGUUCUGGGUUUCAAUUUCACUCUUGGAUUUGUUGGACACUUAAAGCAUCUAAAUUAGUGAUUAUCCUUCUACAUGAUACAGGCUAAGUUUUUGGUCAGCCAAGCUUGAUAUGCAAUAGGCCUAUCUCGCACCAAGGUGGUGACUUGUUCUAGGAUAAACAAGCUACAGAAACCAAUGUAAACAAAUGCUUUGACAAUCUCAAUGUCAAAAGCUUUCCAAGUCAAAGCCAACUUUGUAACAGGUUUUCAAUAAUACAAUCCAAUCAAAGAUAAGAAAACAAACCUAUGAAAUCUUACCUGCUACAAAUUAUGUACUCUAAUUCUGCCAAUGCUGACCUAUCAGUGGAAGAUAUCAGGAAAAUUAUAUGCUCCCUAUCUAGGGUGACUUGCAGGCACAAGUAUUGCUGUAGAACAGAAACAGAGUUGACCGUCUGUCCCCUUUUCAUCCAUGUGCAACUUGAGCCUAUUAAUGGCCAACUUCACCAGGCCUAAGGACAGAGGAGGAAGUCCUCCUCAACACCACAUCCCAAUAAGCCCAGGAGAACAAUGGCAUCAAUGCUGUGAUAAUGACAACACAAUUGUGGGAAAGCUGAACUCAUAGGAAUGACAAUGGAAAAAAUGCAUGAGGUCUGAUUCAGACACAAAUAUUGCCUCAUUUUCGAAUAAAUGGUCCCU